GAUAAACGCUGGCGGCGUGCCUAACACAUGCAAGUCGAACGCCCUUGAGCAAUCAAGGGAGUGGCGGACGGGUGAGGAACACGUGGGUUAUCUGCCUUGGGGUGAGGAAUACCGGCGAGAAAUCGCCGACAAUACCGCAUACGCUUCUGCGGAAGCAAAGUCGUAAGACGCCACAAGAUGAGCCUGCGCCCGAUUAGUUGGUUGGUGGGGUAAUGGCCUACCAAGACGGCGAUCGGUAGCUGGUCUGAGAGGACGAUCAGCCACACUGGGAUUGAGA
rnacentral:rRNA from 1 species